rnacentral:rRNA from 1 species
CAGGGAAUCUUCCGCAAUGGACGCAAGUCUGACGGAGCAACGCCGCGUGAGUGAAGAAGGAUUUCGGUUCGUAAAACUCUGUUGUUAGAGAAGAACAGCGCAUAGAGUAACUGUUAUGCGUGUGACGGUAUCUAACCAGAAAGCCACGGCUAACUACGUGCCAGCAGCCGCGGUAAUACGUAGGUGGCAAGCGUUGUCCGGAUUUAUUGGGCGUAAAGCGAGCGCAGGCGGUCAAUUAAGUCUGAUGUGAAAGCCCCCGGCUCAACCGGGGAGGGUCAUUGGAAACUGGUUGACUUGAGUGCAGAAGAGGGGAGUGGAAUUCCAUGUGUAGCGGUGAAAUGCGUAGAUAUAUGGAGGAACACCAGUGGCGAAGGCGACUCUCUGGUCUGUAACUGACGCUGAGGCUCGAAAGCGUGGGUAGCAAACAGG